GACGAACGCUGGCGGCGUGCUUAACACAUGCAAGUCGAACGGAAAGGCCCUUCGGGGUACUCGAGUGGCGAACGGGUGAGUAACACGUGGGUGAUCUGCCCUGCACUUUGGGAUAAGCCUGGGAAACUGGGUCUAAUACCGAAUAGGACCACGCGCUUCAUGGUGUGUGGUGGAAAGCUUUUGCGGUGUGGGAUGGGCCCGCGGCCUAUCAGCUUGUUGGUGGGGUAAUGGCCUACCAAGGCGACGACGGGUAGCCGGCCUGAGAGGGUGACCGGCCACACUGGGACUGAGAUACGGCCCAGACUCCUACGGGAGGCAGCAGUGGGGAAUAUUGCACAAUGGGCGCAAGCCUGAUGCAGCGACGCCGCGUGAGGGAUGACGGCUUUCGGGUUGUAAACCUCUUUCAAUAGGGACGAAGCGCAAGUGACGGUACCUAUAGAAGAAGCACCGGCCAACUACGUG
rnacentral:rRNA from 1 species